UACAGAGGUCUCAAGCGUUGUUCGGAUUCAUUGGGCGUAAAGGGUGCGUAGGUGGCAUGGUAAGUCGGAUGUGAAACCCCGGGGCUCAACCCCGGAACUGCAUUCGAUACUGCUGCGCUAGAGUACUGGAGAGGAGAUUGGAAUUUACGGUGUAGCAGUGAAAUGCGUAGAUAUCGUAAGGAAGACCAGUGGCGAAGGCGGAUCUCUGGACAGUUACUGACACUGAGGCACGAAGGCCAGGGGAGCAAACGGG
rnacentral:rRNA from 1 species